GUUUCAAUAAAGAGGGGUAGAAAAAGAGCAUCCAGUAACUAUAGAUUCUAUACCUUCUGCUUUCUAUAGAAGAAUGUUUUGUGAAUCUCUCAAAAUACAUAGCAUAUUUAUGUUGGAAAAGAUAUCAUUUAUUACAAGUUUUCUUUUUUUAUUUAUUGUUCGGUGUUAAGCAUAAUGAACAGAACUCUAAAUUGUGAAUUAAGUCAUGUAUAUGUUGACAAGUCAUCAAUUUACUGAAAAGUUGAUGAGAAAUUUAAAAAGUAACGGAUGCUGCCUAUUUCCAUCUUGGUACAAUAAAUAUUUUUUCCAGUGGCUGGGAAUCAUGUACGACCAAGAGCAACUAGACAAGUUGUUCAUCGAGAGCGUCGUCAUCAUCGUCCUGCAUUACCUCAAUCUUUUGAAGCUUUAAACGGUAUGUUAGAAGGAUAUGCGCCCAUGGCUAAUAGUUAUUUGACCUAAGUAAACGCUGGUGAAGCUGGUGAAGCCAUAGCUUACAUAUAUAGUAGUGAUUACAUGGUGCAAAACUUGGGCGCAGCAGAAGA